rnacentral:rRNA from 1 species
GGCAAACGGGUGCGGAACACGUACGCAACUUACCCUGAACUGGGGCAUAGCCCGGGGAAACCCGGAUUAAUACCCCGUACCACUUGGGGGUGGCAUCACCUCUUAGUGAAAGCUCCGGUGGUUCAGGAUGGGCGUGCGGCUGAUUAGGUAGUUGGUUGGGGUAACGGCCCACCAAGCCUGCGAUCAGUAACUGGUGUGAGAGCACGACCAGUCACACGGGCACUGAGACACGGGCCCGACUCCUACGGGAGGCAGCAGUAAGGAAUAUUGGGCAAUGGAGGCAACUCUGACCCAGCCAUGCCGCGUGGAGGAUGAAGGCCCUCUGGGUUGUAAACUUCUUUUACCUGGGACGAAACCUUCUUAUUCUUAGGAAGUUGACGGUACCAGGGGAAUAAGCACCGGCUAACUCCGUGCCAGCAGCCGCGGUAAUACGGAGGGUGCAAGCGUUAUCCGGAUUCACUGGGUUUAAAGGGUGCGUAGGCGGACGGGUAAGUCCGUGGUGAAAUCUCCGAGCUUAACUCGGAAACUGCCGUGGAUACUAUUGGUCUUGAAUACUGUGAAGGUGAGCGGAAUAUGUCAUGUAGCGGUGAAAUGCUUAGAUAUGACAUAGAACACCAAUUGCGAAGGCAGCUCACUGCGCAGUGAUUGACGCUGAGGCACGAAAGCGUGGGGAUCAAACAGGAUUAGAUACCCUGGUAGUCC